CAAGAAGCCGAAAGGCUACUUAAAACCAUCGCGAACUUAUCCAAGUUGCUUCGGCGGCGCGGCUCCCCUCACGGGGGACCGCAGCCCCCGCCUCUCAGGAGGUAAGGGGCAGCCGCCGGAGGUACGAAACUCUGUAUUAUAGUGGUAUCUCUGAGUAUAAAACAAAUGAGUUA
rnacentral:misc_RNA from 1 species